GAUGAACGCUGGCGGCGUGCCUAAUACAUGCAAGUCGAGCGAACAGAUAAGGAGCUUGCUCCCUUGACGUUAGCGGCGGACGGGUGAGUAACACGUGGGUAACCUACCUAUAAGACUGGGAUAACUUCGGGAAACCGGAGCUAAUACCGGAUAACAUUUGGAACCGCAUGGUUCUAAAGUGAAAGAUGGUUUUGCUAUCACUUAUAGAUGGACCCGCGCCGUAUUAGCUAGUUGGUAAGGUAACGGCUUACCAAGGCAACGAUACGUAGCCGACCUGAGAGGGUGAUCGGCCACACUGGAACUGAGACACGGUCCAGACUCCUACGGGAGGCAGCAGUAGGGAAUCUUCCGCAAUGGGCGAAAGCCUGACGGAGCAACGCCGCGUGAGUGAUGAAGGGUUUCGGCUCGUAAAACUCUGUUAUUAGGGAAGAACAAAUGUGUAAGUAACUGUGCACGUCUUGACGGUACCUAAUCAGAAAGCCACGGCUAACUACGU
rnacentral:rRNA from 1 species